UGGAAUGGAGCUCAGUGGGUAGAGUGCUUGCCUAACAGGCAUGAGGCCUGGGUUUGAUGCCCAGAAUGGCAU
rnacentral:tRNA from 1 species